ensembl:lncRNA
AAGGUGACUCUUUGCUAAUGCGUGUAAUAAAAGAAUUGUGUAGCGGGAAAUGCUUACAGCUGUCUGUAGCACUCUGCUUCCAUGACAAGAUCUUUUAGUUUUCCUACAUGUUGCAUCAUAAAGAACAGACAAAAGGAAAGUUGCAUGCUGAGAGAUUUGAGAAGAAUAAGAGAACAAUUGACUGAAACAAAAAGAAAUGUAUGAGAAGGUGGAGGGGCAGAGGAUCAGACAGACGGGAGGAACCAAGACUCAUUUACACAGAUGAACAUGUGGACGAAAGUCAGUUCGUCAGAUAUGGAGAACUGUCCCUUGUCUCGGCUCACAGAUCAGAGGCUUCUGUUCUGGCCUGCAUCAACUUUUCCUGCAUUAAAACUCUCGGGUCUGAAAGAACUUUCCAAAGCCUUCUGAUGGCAUUCAGCAUUCGCCACGGGGGAAAAUAACAAGCUGGUUGCUCACUUUGUGACCUGCUGGAUGAGGUGGUUCCAGGUGCACCUGUCGUAGGCCUACUCUUCCUCCAGGCUGGGAACAUUGCCCCCUUGUAGUGCCUGAACUUCGGCUGAGUCGGGUGGCAGCCUCCCAUUUGUUAAAUGCUACAUGAGGUGACUGGAGCUUCUCUGCCCGUCGCUGAGAGGACAGAUGGAGAGGGCACGGAAUGUUCUGGAGAGCCGAUGGUAAUUACAAGCCAGUAGCAGAGCCGAUGGCUUCCGCAGGGAACAGGCCUGAGCGGAAGCGCUCGAGUGGCGUGGGGGGUUGUUUGCCCUUUGGCUGCUCAGCAUGCUGUUGCUCUGCGCGGUGAGCUCGUGUUGGGACUGCCGUCACUGCACAUUUCUCCGCUCUUCAUGUCAGGUGAGGUGUGUGUGGGAACAUGGUGACAUUUGUGAGCUUUUGUCAUUCACAAGGAGUUUAACUCUUCAGAUGUGUUUCCAGUUCUAUUCGUUUCAGUAGAUAACUGAUGGAAGUCGCAGAUGUGUACAAAAGAAUUUUAUGGAUCAGUCCACCCAAAAAUAAAAUAAUUAUCAUCAUUUACUCAUGUCGUGAUCAAAAGUGAUAUUUACAGUGAGUUUUCUUCAUACAUCAUAUCUCUCAUUUUAUAUUCUCUGACACUUGUCUCCUUGGUAACCAAGUACACUAACUUUUAAAAACUUACAGUAUUUAAUGACAUUAUUGUUGUUUGUGUACACCAAUUGUAUAUAAAUCAUAAAUUUGUUGAUUAUUUUUAUUUCACUUUUUUUCCACUCAAUUCUGAUACUUAAUUCUGAUUUUUUUUUAUGGAUUUAUUAUAGUUUAAUAUAAGGCUACAACAAUAAAAUCACAUUUAAUCAUUUAAUAAUAUUUCUAUUCAUUGGAUUUUAUAAUUCAUAAUUGUAACCUUGUACUUCACAACUGCAACCUUUUUCACGUCAUAUAUUAAGCUUUCUCACAAUAACUAAUAUUUCUUAAAAUUGUGACUUUAUAUCUCAUAACUCUGUCUUUUUCCCAUAUUUUAAAAGUUUUAUAUUUCAUUUCUUUUAAUAAUAUAAAAUAGAUUUGAAAUGUAGCAACAAUGAAUGAGGGCAUACUAAAAUAUUUCAGUGCCUUGUAAACUUUUUAUCAUGAAUCCAUCAUUACUACCCAUGUAUACAUUUUUAUUUGUCAGUUUUAUUAUUUUACCCUUGUCCCUGACUUUCAGUCUUAACUAUAACAAGCCAUUAUAAAAAUAUGAAUUAAUAAAUAUUUAAAACUAUGAUGUGAACAAAGAGUUAAAUAAAAAUAAUCCAUUUUGAUGUUUAUUGUGUAAAAAUUACUUUAUGAUUUUUUUUUUACACAAAUUAUGACUGUACCUCAUUUGUGGUGCCCACAAACAAGUUAUUUUGUAGUUACUGUACUUGGUUACAAUAGAGACAAAAUUGUUUCAAUGUAACCUUUAUAAAAAGGGGGCAUUAAAUCUGUUAGUUUUAAUAAAACCAAACCUUAAGAUAUAAAAAGUGCAAGAAGUUGGAGAAACACCCUUAUAUCUUUUCACAUCUGAUCAGUCAUCUGCUCAACAUCUCAAGAGCGUCCUGUCUGCAGGUGAUUAAUUACUUUGUCAGCCGUCAGUCUCAGAAAAUGAGAGGUGAGGGGGAAAAAAGAAGAAAAGGGAGGAGUAUGAGGGAAAGUGAGCGGGCACAGCUUUGCAGGAUGCUGAAAUGUAGCUCUGCAAUCCCCAUAGGGCUCAUAUUAAUGAGGGUGCAGAGAAAGUUAACAACUCACAUUAAGCACUAAUGCAUUCUUUAAUUAAUUAAGUGCUCAUUUAUAAAUAUCCAACACAUCCUGUACACGUUCAAUCUGACUUAACAAUAACAUAUUAACGAUUCCUGUUCCAGGCAUAACAUAUUUAAAUGUCAUUGAUACUCCAACAGCUAGAUAAACAUACUCUGAAACUCUAUUAACAGCAUUAGGUGAUGUCUGGAGCAGCACGAAUUCCCCUGCAAUUCUCUCAUAAUUACAAAUUAAUUUCACAUUUAAUGUAUGAACACAGCCAUGGUGAAAUUUAGUUAAUUAGUUGAUUAAAAUGCAUAGUUCAAAGUAAAAACUGAGCAAUUUUGAGCCAUUUAGUGAAUCAUUUUGUAGUUAUUGGACAGCUUUAACACUCUUCCUUUUCAUUAUUUUAUAAGCAGGUUCUUAGACCUGGAUGAUGCAGUUAAGACUCAAAUGUGUGCAAUACUAUAGAAAAUGCCUUUAUUAUCAUUACUGUUUGAUAAAGCGGCCACAUUCAGCUCAGACAGAACUGCCAGCGCAAAUGUAAGUAACCUAUCACACACACACACACACACACACACACACACUGAGCUUUGAGGUGAGUGUUAAUCUCUGAGGUGUGUUAGGAAAGCACAGAAGGAAGGAGAUAUCAAAUAAAGCUCAUGUAAAAAUAUUCUAGAGAAAUGAUUUACUAAAAAGCAUCCUAGUAAAAUUUAGAUAAGUAAAAACUCCAUGUGCCAUUCCAGUUUUAGCCCAAUACGAUGGGUUUCAUGAGAAGGAUAACAUGAUAAAGACGUGUUUGAACAUAUAAUCUCUGAGGAAAGAUUCCUCUGGGUUAAAUUCAAAAGAAUCACUUUAUGCACAUCGUUUUUCUCAGCAAAAGCAGGAAUACAUCUCUCACAUAGCUCUCUCAUACCUUAAUACUGAGACAAAGAAACACAUACAAGCUGCUAAAAAUAAACUGGCAUGCAUAGUCAGAAUGUUGACAAUAAAACCAAAAAAACACCCCUCAGGAUGUUAACAAUCCCGACACUCGAAAAUAAAAGCAACCCUGUUAAUAAAACGCUUCGUUUCCAGACAAAAUGCUUAACAGCCGUCUCUCAGAGUCGGUUUCAACAUGUUUGAAAUCAAUCAGAAUAUUUAAACCCGUGGAAGCAGACAAUCUGUGUAGAGCUGCGCACCUCCUCAUUGGAGAGGAACUUCACUUUUGGCACAGUGUGUUUCAUUUUUCAUGAAGCUGCACCUCCUUGUUCCCUGCAGGCGUCUCCUCGGUGUUCUUGCUGAAUGUGUGUGUGCUGAACAAAAGCCUUGGUUGUUUACGUCAAGGUAUCUCCUUGCGGUUGGGUGAUGAAGAGCAGGUGGCCUCAUUUGCAGAGAGCACUUCCUCAGAAGCAGCACCUUCACUGCCUCCUCUUCCUCCACGUGGCUGUCGGGCAGGCGAGGGCGAUUGCGUUCCCCUCCCGCGCCGUGCCGCCUGUCCGCCUGUGGGACCUGCUCCGUGGGCUUUUCAUCAGCUGCCAUUUUCACCAGCAUGCAGUAAUUUCAUGGCUCAUUGCAAGCGCUGAAAACCUUUGAAACUGCAAAUGUUAACUUUUGCCUGGCCCGGAGCCAUUUAGAAAGCGAUUAAUUCGGCAAACAGACGUGAGCCACUUUCUCCUCCCAAGUUUUCGCAUAAUUUUCCAACCCUUUCUAUCUGGGAUUUGCAUUGCAGGGAACUCGCAGGACAAGGAUAAUAACCAUUCCUGUUAAUUGUGGUUUGGUGAAGAAACAAGGCCUGUCGCUCUGCAGUCUGAUCUACCCGGCUGUCCCAAUCCAGUCCAAACAGGGAGAAUGAACAGAGAAUCGGAUCGAGAAUCAGAGAAAACUGUGUACAAGACUCUUUGAAGGGAGUGGAUAGGACGAAAUGCUGUUGAGGGACUGACAUUGAGAAACAUUUCUGGAUGGCAUGAAGGUUGAUGUGGCUGGCCUCCAAAAUCAUCGUGCCUGAGACCACACAGAUGGGGAUGAGAUAAAACUUCUGGGCGGGGCUAGUGAGCCACCUGUGGCAGUGACAUCAGCACGGCAGAGAUCAGGGGCCCUGUGGUCUCCAUCCCCCACAUCCACCUCGUGUCCUUUUAUCUGUGAUCAUGUAUCACCUGCAGCUACACGUCCAGCUGGAGGAGACAGAUUUCAUCUGUCAUCUGUGAGUGGAUCUCAAUACCCAGAACUAAGUCUGUCCAGAAGUCCAUGUCCAGCGGCCGGCCUGCCAGAGCUAAUCUCACAGAUGAAGCGUCUCCUUUUCUGCUCAGUCAUGUACCUGUGCGGGAGGGGGAAAGAGACGAGGAGGCCUCACGAUCAAAUUAAUCUCCUAUUAGAACAUGCAUCUGGGGUUAAAGUGAAAGACUCCAUUCCCUGUUGUUCUCUCACAUCAAAAUCCAGCGAUAUAUUUGUGUUGCGCAGAGAAGAAAGACAUGGAGAAGAAACCACAACCAAACUUCAUCAGUUCUCGCAUAUAUCGCCAACAUGCCAGCUCAAGACAGCAAAACACAAACCGAAGACGAGCUUCAAAAUGGAGGGACUGAAAAGAGGAAAGGAUGAGUGCAGAGAAAACAAAGAAACGGAGGAAGAAGGGAAGAAAAAGGCAGAGAGAAGAAGCGGCGGCAUGAUCUCCAUGCCACUGAUUUCCCCUGCGAUGAGAACAGCAUCAUGUUAAUUAUUUCAACCAUCUGCUGCAGCCCGUGAUGGAGGCGCCCUCCACCUCACACAGAUUUGUACCUGUCAGUCAAAUUGCGGGACCAACACGAGGCGCUGUGGCGGCGAGAAUAAGAUCCAACGCAUGCCAAGGUCCUGAGGGAUUGAGCUGUGGUGUGAAAUUAAUCUGGAGUUCACAAUUUAGCUGGACUCUCUGAAUUUAUGCUCAAAGAAGCCUCAACAUCUGGCUAUUUUUGGAGUGUUUUGGCAUGAGAAGUGCCAAAAGCAGAACUUUAGGAAUUUCUGCAGCUCCUUUUGACUGAAUGAGAUGUCUCAUGAUAGACCUUUCUGUACAGUAUGUAUCAUGAAACAUCACAGAAUUCUUUGAAUUCUUUGUUAAAACCAAACCAUGUUUCUGCUGUUGUUUUCUCCCCCACCAAAAAUGAUGACACUUUUAUAAGAUCUUAUAAAUUUCAUUAACUUUCUGCUGUUUUUUUUU